GAUGAAUGAAUACCUGCACCAUGGAAACAAUGUCAUUUGCAAAUUUUUUAACCUGUGCUGGGCGUUCACAUUGACAUUUCUUGUUCAACAGAAUACAUGAUGUCGACCAACAGUACAGCUAGAUGAAGAUAUAAAUUUAUUCAAAGAAAUAAUGGGACAAUGAAUGCUAAAAUUGCCUAGAAGAAGACUGUCAAUUUACACACCAUUUUAUACAGUAUGAUAUGGUGAACAAAAUGCCUCAAUGCAGCCAGUUCUGGAGCUUUGGCUAGACUAUGAACAGUAGACAUCAAAAGAUGAUCAUCUGAAGGGCCACAAUUGUUUAAAGCACUGGUCAACAAAAACUGAACUAUUUGAUGGAUCAUACAUCUGCAG